UACCGCAUAAGUACCCACGGGUCAAAGGAGCAAUUCGCUUGAGGAGGAGGUCGCGGCCGAUUAGUUAGUUAGCGGGGUAAGUGGCCCACCAAGACACGUGAUCGGUAUCCGGCCUGAGAGGGCGCACGGGACACACUGGAACUGAAACACGGUCCAGACUCCUACGGGAGGCAGCAGUGGGGAAUUUUGCGCAAUGGGGGAAACCCUGACGCAGCAACGCCGCGUGGAGGUAUGAAGUACUCUUGGGACGUAAACUCCUUUCGAUCGGGACGUAUUAUGACGGUACCGGAAGAAGAAAGCCCCGGCUAACUUCGUG
rnacentral:rRNA from 1 species